GGUUGAAGGCUGAAAUUCGCCUUCAUGAAGCCGGAAUUGCUAGUAAUGGCAGGUCAGCAUACUGCCGUGAAUACGUUCCCGGGCCUUGUACACACCGCCCGUCACACCAUGGGAGUCGGAAAUGCCCGAAGUCUGUGACCCAACCUACGGGAGGGAGCAGCCGAAGGCAGGUCGGAUGACUGGGGUGAAGUCGUAACAAGGUACC
rnacentral:rRNA from 1 species